UACGUAGGGUGCGAGCGUUAAUCGGAAUUACUGGGCGUAAAGCGUGCGCAGGCGGUCUGUUAAGUGAGGUGUGAAAUCCCCGGGCUUAACCUGGGAACUGCGCUUCUAACUGGCAGGCUAGAGUGUGGCAGAGGGGGGUGGAAUUCCACGUGUAGCAGUGAAAUGCGUAGAGAUGUGGAGGAACACCGAUGGCGAAGGCAGCCCCCUGGGCUAACACUGACGCUCAUGCACGAAAGCGUGGGGAGCAAACAGG
rnacentral:rRNA from 1 species